UUUCCGUAGGUGAACCUGCGGAAGGAUCAUUAACGAAUAAACCUGGUGGAUUGUCGCUGGCACUCUCGAGGGCAUGUGCACAUUCAUCAUCUUUAUCUUUCCACCUGUGCACAUAUUGUAGAUAUGGAGACCAUCUUUUCCAAGUCUUUAUUGGUUUGGGGUAUGAGGAAAUGUAGGCUCUUUGACCGAGUCAGCUUUCCUUGGAUAGCCAUGUCUAUGUCUUUCAUAUACACCGAUGAAUGUAACAGAAUGUAAUAAAAGGUCAGUGUACCUAUAUAAAACUAUACAACUUUCAGCAACGGAUCUCUUGGCUCUC
rnacentral:misc_RNA from 1 species